UGUGGGAGCGAGCCUGCUCGCGAUAGCGACAGCACGUUCAGCAUCAGGGUGUCUGACAUACCGCUAUCGCGAGCAGGCUCGCUCCCACA
rnacentral:misc_RNA from 1 species